rnacentral:rRNA from 1 species
CCUACGGGAGACAGCAGUGGGGAAUAUUGCACAAUGGGGGAAACCCUGAUGCAGCGACGCCGCGUGAGUGAAGAAGUAUUUCGGUACGUAAAGCUCUAUCAGCAGGGAAGAAAAUGACGGUACCUGACUAAGAAGCCCCGGCUAACUACGUGCCAGCAGCCGCGGUAAUACGUAGGGGGCAAGCGUUAUCCGGAUUUACUGGGUGUAAAGGGAGCGUAGACGGCAGCGCAAGUCUGGAGUGAAAUCCCAUGGCUUAACCAUGGAACUGCUUUGGAAACUGUGCAGCGAGAGUGCAGGAGAGGUAAGCGGAAUUCCUAGUGUAGCGGUGAAAUGCGUAGAUAUUAGGAGGAACACCAGUGGCGAAGGCGGCUUACUGGACUGUAACUGACGUUGAGGCUCGAAAGCGUGGGGAGCAAACAGGAUUAGAUACCCCAGUAGUC